rnacentral:rRNA from 1 species
AACGAACGCCGGCGGCAGGCUUAACACAUGCAAGUCGAGCGCGUAGCAAUACGAGCGGCAGACGGGUGAGUAACGCGUGGGAAUCUACCGUACCCUAUGGAAUAGCUCCGGGAAACUGGAAGUAAUACCAUAUACGCCCGAAAGGGGAAAGAUUUAUCGGGGUAUGAUGAGCCCGCGUUGGAUUAGCUAGUUGGUGGGGUAAAGGCCUGCCAAGGCGACGAUCCAUAGCUGGUCUGAGAGGAUGAUCAGCCACAUUGGGACUGAGACACGGCCCAAACUCCUACGGGAGGCAGCAGUGGGGAAUAUUGGACAAUGGGCGCAAGCCUGAUCCAGCCAUGUCGCGUGAGUGAUGAAGGCCUUAGAGUUGUAAAGCUCUUUCACCGAUGAAGAUAAUGACGGUAGUCGGAGAAGAAGCCCCGGCUAACUUCGUGCCAGCCGCCGCAGUAAUAC